GAUGAACGCUGGCGGCGUGCCUAAUACAUGCAAGUCGAGCGAACGGACGAGAAGCUUGCUUCUCUGAUGUUAGCGGCGGACGGGUGAGUAACACGUGGAUAACCUACCUAUAAGACUGGGAUAACUUCGGGAAACCGUAGCUAAUACCGGAUAAUAUUUUGAACCGCAUGGUUCAAAAGUGAAAGACGGUCUUGCUGUCACUUAUAGAUGGAUCCGCGCUGCAUUAGCUAGUUGGUAAGGUAACGGCUUACCAAGGCAACGAUGCAUAGCCUACCUGAGAGGGGGAUCGCCCACCUGGGAGCUGAGACGCGGUCCAGACUCCUGAGGGAGGCAGCAGUAGGGAAUCUUCCGCAAUGGGCGAAAGCCUGACGGAGCAACGCCGCGUGAGUGAUGGAGAUCUUCGGAUCGUGAAACUCUGUUAUUAGGGAAGAACAUAUGUGUAAGUAACUGUGCACAUCUUGACGGUACCUAAUAAGAAAGCCACGGCUAACUACGUG
rnacentral:rRNA from 1 species